rnacentral:tRNA from 1 species
AUUUACUUAAUAUAUUAGUAUAUUUAACUUCCAAUUAAAAAGCCUGAGUUAAUUCAGAGUAAAUA